AUGGUUCGAGGAAAGAGUGUUACAGGAAAAGGAAGGCGGACAGCUUCCACCUUACCAGCUCCCACAUCUGCUGGCUCGCUGACUGUUCUGUAUGCAGCCGUUGCCAGUAUAGGCGUCCAGCACGCUACCGAGAUUGAAGCUACAGAGAUCGCUUGGAUAAUGGAGUCGUUGGUGUUGGAGGAACUUGAGACAUUGAGUGGAAUGUCUUACUCAGACGAGAAGAGGAAUUACACAGUUAUACAAACAUUAUUUUGUAUUAACACCAUGGGCAUAUUCUACUUUUCUUUAGGUUUAUUCCUAUCUCUAGCAUAUGUUCGAUCUCAGAUUUCUGUUUCACUCUCAGUCCCUGAGAUUGUGAGACCAUCAGAAUCAGUCAUGCUGGUCUGUAAAGUCACUGGUGCUCCAAUCACUGAUGGCAGUAAGAUCCAUGCUGUGAACUUUGUAAAGCAACUUCUAGAUGGCAGUCUGGUGUUCCUGGCUCAUCUUAAUUAUGCUCAGGGCACAGCAUACAACCCCACAUUACAGAGCAGACUCACCCUGUCCAGAGACACCGCCAAAAAUGAGGUAUUUCUGCAAAUAAGAGAAAUGAAACCAGAAGACAAAGCAGUAUAUUACUGUGCAGGGCAAAGUACACAGUGUGCAAGAGGAAGCAAAGACCAGGCGUAA